AUACGGAGGAUCCGAGCGUUAUCCGGAUUUAUUGGGUUUAAAGGGUGCGCAGGCGGCCAUUUAAGUCAGCGGUUAAAUCUUGGGGCUCAACCCCGUUCUGCCGUUGAUACUGGGUGGCUUGAUUGCGGUCGAGGUUGGCGGAAUUCGUUGUGUAGCGGUGAAAUGCAUAGAUAUGACGAAGAACACCGAUUGCGUAGGCAGCUGACCAGACCGCAAAUGACGCUCAUGCACGAAAGUGCUGGGAUCGAACAGGAUUAGAUACCCUGGUAGUCCGCACAGUAAACGAUGAAUACUUGUUUUCGGCGAUAUAAUGUCGGAGGCAAAGCGAAAGCGAUAAGUAUUCCACCUGGGGAGUACGCCGGCAACGGUGAAACUCAAAUGAAUUGGCGGGG
rnacentral:rRNA from 1 species